CAGUCUGUAGCUUACAGAUUCUGUAAGCUAGUCAAGUCCAAAUUUGUAGAUUUGCAAGACUGGAACAAUAAUGGGAAGUAACUUAGCGUUUGCCUAAUGGGAAAUUAAAUAUCGUAGGACCGUCGGACCCAUCCCACGUACAUAAUUUUGAAACUACGGUCCCCUUCGCUCUUGUCUGAGCAUUACGGCAUUAAUAAUUACUAUUAUAUAAGACUCUUCCCAUGAGUGUCAUAUGCUGCAUAUACCUCCCAAAAAAAAUGGUGCCUCGGAAAUAAACAAUAUCAGUGCUCUGUUUUCUGGGAUGAGGAUGAAAACCUCGUUCACUUCAAGUGCCCUCUUCCACCAAGGACGAAGCGAGAGGAUGUGAAGGUUGAGAUUGAUGAAGAUGGGAAAUUGCUUUUAGAAAUAAGCAAGUGGGCAAGUUCACACAGUGAUCCUCUCUCUUCAGCUUCUUCCUGGAUGAUCAUAUCCGGCUCCUCUUUCUUAAGCUUCCUGACGAAAAAUGAAGGAGACACCACCAGCCCAAUACCCCCGAUGGAAUUCAACUUGCCAGCGGGUCUUAACACGAAUGCCUUCGAGACUGCGAUCGAUGACGAGGGGUUGCUAACUCUCACUUUCAAAAAGCUCCUGCCCAUUCAUGCCGAAACGCCCUCCGACCUCGAAAAGGCCUCCGUGGAGUGGAAGAACAAAAAGCGCGUCUCUCACUUCAAGGCCCUUCUACCAGCGGGGACGAAGAUGGAUGACAUGUAUACGUAAUAGAUGAGUCAAAUAAAUAUAAAUAUUUAAAAUAAUAUAUAUUUUAUAAUAUUUUUUUAAUAAAAUUUGGGUUUUAAAUCGGUUUUUAAGUUUAUCAAGUGAUGUUUAAAAUCGACCCAACUUCAUAUUCAAGUCGGGUAUUACAAUACCUGAGUGCUGUCUGAAUCCGGACCAGACCGGGCGGGUAUUUUACCACCCCUAAUUGUUAUCUUCUUUCGUUUUCGUUUCCACGUUUCAAGAUUUUCUAAUUAUUUAAUUAUGCUAUUUUCUUUUAAUAUGGUACACACACACACACCACACAGGCAAUCCCAUUGAUUACAACUUUCUCAUCUUAUUUGAAUAAUUAAGAUGUCUUUCUGUGUGCACAUGGGGCGUAAGAUGAUUACGUUGUGGGGAAAAUUGUGAUAAAAUUUUGGACCCAGUUGCCUUCGAUUUUUCAGACUGCCGAAAAUUGCGGCUAUGUGUUCACACUAUAUUAAUGCAGUUUAACCAUGCAAAGUUUUUGGGUAUUAUUCAUUGCGUGACACUGGAGACAAUUUAUAUUUAAUAGUUGGUUAGGCAUUUUGCUUGAUAUUAUUUGGACUCGUAGGGCUGUUAAAAUUUUUGUUCAUAAUUUUAUAAUUCAGAUCUUAUUGUAAUAAGAUAGCAAUUUUUUUUAUUGUGGGUUAGAUUCUCUCAAUUGAUAUUUAGCUAAAAAUAUCUCACUAAUCCCUAUUGGUUAAGUAUUUUUAAAUUCAUAUACAUGAUUUUUAUUGUUUUUUAAGUAUUUUUAAACUUUUUCCUGCCCAGUUUUGUAUAUUUUUAUUCACCGAGUUUUGCCUCUUUUGUUUUUCACUAUUUUCUCUUAAUUUCGCGCAAUAUUUUUUACUACUUUAAUGCAAAUGCUUGCUGCUUCUAUUACAAUUCUUUUAAUAAAAUGGCUUUCAAUGUAAAUUGUUAAUUUUUUAAAUAGAAUUAACACCAUCUGUAUGAAUCACAUGGAGCUUUUGCAGAUUAUUGUGACCAAUUCCCGCUGUUGGCGAUAAGUUGAAAGCAUUAAUGGCUCCUUUUUAUCCACGUCCACUGAGGUUUAUCGCUGGGGAUUACUUAAUUGGGUUGUCAUUCAACAGUAGCGUUCAACUGGGCCUAGUGGCAGCUCCUUAAAGCAAGAGUCCGAGGACCAAAAGGAUUGUCCCUUCCCACCUGAUCCGUUGAUCUUAAACUGAAUUCGCCUUCGUCGACGAGUUCCAUGAAAAAUAUAACUGAAAAAAUGCGAUGCUCGAAUUAUGGUUUUUAAUUAUUUUAAUAAUUAGCACAGGUAGAAAUUAAAUAAAUAUAAUACUAUUAAAAUUAAAUAAAUAUAUAGUAAUAUUAUUAAUUCUUUAUGAAUAUAAUAAUAUUAUUUAAUAAAGAAUGAGUAAAAGAGGAAGAUGUGGGAGUGGAAAUCUCACUCCACACUCCAAAAAUGAGUGGGACCCACAGAGUGAGAUUCCUACUUUCCUCCUAAAAUAAGCAAGUAAACAGUAGAAGGAAUUCAUAUUCUCCACUCAUACUCGAGCAAGUAAACAUAACAUAAUAUUCUAAAUUAGUAUAUAUUUAUCAAUUUUAACAUAGUUGAUGAUGUUUCGACACGAAAAAUAUUCAUAAAAAUUAUAAAGACAAAUAAUGCUCAUUUGAAAAAAAAUAAAAAGAUAAAAACAAUAAUUAUCUACCAAUAUAUAUUAUCACAAGCUAUAGAGAUGAGUAAUAAUGCUAAUUAUUAAAUUUUAUUUAAGUAAGGAUGAAAAUUAAUUAAUUAGAUGGGAAUAUUUUAAAGAAUAUCUUUUCAUGAUAUCAUUAAGGUUUUUUGGAUUAGGUAAAAAGCUAAAAAAAUAGUUUAAUGACUCAAUAAUAAUGUACUAAAAUUUUUAAUUAAAUUAAAAAUAAAUAAACUUAAUAACUUAACUGAUUAAAAUUAAGUCAAUGAAGUCAUUAAGUUAAAAAAAAAAAAACAAACGGCCUCUAAGUGUAAUUUACUUAAUAUAACUUUGUGUUUAUCUAAUGCAAACUCUAUGAUUUAUGUAACUUACACCAUUAUGUAAAGGGUUCUCUUGGACAACUGUCCUUAAAUCUUAAUUGAGUUGGAGUCCCCUCAAGGUACUCAAGAUUCUAGUCACGUGAAGGUAUGGGAUUUGUACGAUUAUGCUAUUCAAUUUUUGAUAAUUACUAUUUCAAAUAUAAAUGUGCAAUUGAGCAUGGCAAUUUUGGAAUUGCUUGUUGGGUGUUAAAAAUUAAAAUAUUGUAGGGUAAGUACAUACACUUAGUACAUUAUUAUUGCUAUUUGAAUGCCACUGCUACAUUAAGGCAAUGACAUUUGGUUUGUGCCAUACUAAAAAAAAAAAAAAAAAAUUCCUUUGAGCCUACAGGAACGGGACUAUCCUUGUAAUUGUCGUAUUUCCUCAAUGGAUGUAUCUUUUAAGCUCUUCAUUUGGCAUGUUUCCUUUCCAUUCGAUAUCAUUCAUAUUUUAAGUUUCUUCAAUUUAUUUUUUAUUAUUUAAAGAAUAAUAUCAUUCGAUAUUAUUUUUUAUUAUUUUUGAAAGUCAUGUCAAAAUCACAGUUCAAUUUAUCAUUCAUAUUUCCAUUCGAUAAAUAUGGUAGUUUUUGUCCAAUCAAAGGAUCGGUUCGUUUUCCGGCCCUGGAAAGUCCCCUUUUGGGAUUUCGGUACCGUUUGUACAGGUGGCAAAUACCAACGGGAGGAAGAGACGCCGUGUUGACUUUCUUUCAAAGUCAAAAGGCUCUAUAUAUAGAAUAUUCAUAGUGAAUUGGGCCCAAUGCAUGCACCACACUUGUCCUGUACAUGGAGAAAAAGCAUGCAAAUGCUUUUGUUUGGUAGCUGGCUAAAGCAGAAUCUGUAAGUUACAGAAGAGUCUGUAACUUAGCCUGCUCCGUGCAUUGGAGUUAGUUAUAUACAACAUCUUACGUGGUAUAUCAUUGUUACUAAAUUAUGUAAAUUAGUUCCUUAGUCCUACAUGCCAUGGCUAAAUACAUUUUGAUGCUUGUUGCAAAACCUAUGUGUUUAAUUUAGUGAGACCUUGCUGGAUGGCCUUCUAUGCGAAUGGGCUAUAAGAUGAUUUAAGUUGAGGGGAAAUUUGUACACCUAGUUGCCUUCAAUUUUUCUGACGGGGAAAAUUGUGGAUGAUUUAUCAACACGUGUAAUUUAAACAGCUUAAAAGAAGAAAUUAAUAUCAUCAUAUGAUAUAAUUAUAAAACGUCAAAAAGUGUAAUUAGAAAAUUUUGCUAAACUUGAGAGAUAAUCAAAUAUCACAAAUGAUGCAGUUGUGGGUAAAGUAUUACUAAGAAUUUAAGUUGGUAUUUUAAAAUAUUAAUAUCCCACGUUACUUAGAUAAAAAAAAACACAAGUUGAUUUAUUUGUAGAAACUAGAUACGCUCUGGCGGCAACAAGUCCCCGCGGACAAAACCAAGCAUAACUAAAAUUACUUUAAAAGAAAUAUACGUAAAUUCCCAAAAGUUCACCUAUAACCGCAAAGACACCUACCCUUCAGACCUCGAAAGUUCAAAAGUUCACAAAACCACAAGGACACCUACCUUCAGACCUCAAAAACCCCCUAUAAAUAAAUUUCCCCCUCAAAAGCCAAUUAUUCCCAAUUUCGCAGAAUAAUACUAUAUUAAAGAAACAUACUUCUUUAGUUGAAACACCUCAAAGAAACCCAGAAACCCUUCAAAUUCAAACCUAAAAAAAUGUGCCUCGGAAACAAACCAUAUCAGUUCUCUGUUUCCUGGGAUGAGGACGAAAACCUCGUUCACUUCAAGUGCCGUCUUCCAUCAACGACGAAGCGAGAGGAUGUGAAGGUUGAGAUUGAUGAACAUGGGAAAUUUGCUUAUAGAAGAAAUAAGCAAAGGGGUAAGUUCACAUAGUGAUCCUCUCUCUUCAGCUUCUUCCUUGAUGAUCAGAUUCGGAUCCUCUCUCCUAAGCUUCCUGAAGAAAAAUGAGGGAGACACCACCAGCCCGAUAGGCCCGAUGGAAUUCAACUUGCCAGCGGGUCUUAACACGAAUGACCUUGAGACUGCGGUCGAUGACGAGGGGUUGCUAACUCUCACUUUCAAAAAGCUCGUGCCCAUUCGUGCCCAUUAUCAGUGCUCUGUGUUCUGGGACGAGGAUGAAAACCUGGUUCACUUCAACUACAGUCUUUUUGACUGUAAGUAUAGUACGAAAUGGUUUUUUUGAGGAUUUUGUUUUUAUGUUGUCUUAUAUGCUUGUGAAAAAUCUAAAACUGAGAUGCGGUCAUGGAAUGGUUCCCUAAAUGAACGGACAAGCGACAGGUGAAGCAGUCGUGGGUAGGUACUAUUAGGAAUUUGAGUUGGUAUUUCAAAAUACAGUAGUGUUAUACAUCUCAAAUUUUUUAUCUCAAAAAGUUAUCCCAAAUGAUGUGUCAUUAAUUGAGUGGUUGAUAAUUCUUUACAAGAUCCAAGUGAAUUAAUUGUAUUAUCUCACCAACCAAUUGAUAAAUGACACAUCAUUUGGGAUAACUUUUUGAGAUAAAAAAUUUAGGGUGUGCAGCAUUACUCUUCAAAAUAUUAGUAUCCUACAUUGCUUAGAUAAAAAAACACAAGUUGAUUUAUUUAUAGAAACUAAAUAUGUUGUGGCAACCAAGUCCCCGCGUACAAAACCAAGCAUAACUAAAGACACUUUAAACAGAAACAUGGAAAUUCCCACUAUAAAGAAAUACAACAAAAUCACAGAUAAGCAGUAUCACAAUAAGUCCAAAGCAAAGCAGAGUAAGAUGUAUUAUCACAAUAAGUCCAAAGCAAAGCAAAGCAGAGUAAGCAGUAUUAUCACAAUAAGUCCAAAGCAAAGCAGAGUAUCACAAUAAGUCCAAAACCAAUUCCCAAUUUCGCAGAUACUAUAAAGAAAUACUUCUUUAGUUGAAACCUCAAAGAAACCCAGAAACCCUUCAAUUCAAACCUCAAAAAAUGUGCCUCGGAUAUAACCCAUAUCAGCGCUCUGUUUUCUGGGAUGAGGAUGAAAACCUCGUUCAUUUCAAGUACCCUCUUCCAUCAGGGACGAAGAAAGAGGAUGUGAAGGUUGAGAUUGAUGAAGAUGAGAAAUUGCUUAUAGAAAUAAGCAAAGGGGUAAGGUCACAUAGUGAUCCUCUCUCUUCAGCUUCUUCCUCGAUGACCAGAUUCGGAUCCUCUUUCCUAAGCUUCCCGAAGAAAAAUGAUGGAGACAGCGCCAGCCCGAUAAUCUCGAUGAAAUUCAACUUGCCAGCAGGUCUUGACCCGAAUGGCUUCAAGACUGCAAUAGAUGACGAGGGGUUGCUGACUCUCACUUUUAAAAAGCUCCUUCCCAUUCAUUCCGAAACGCCCUUCGACCUCAAAAACGACUCCAAGUGGGUGACUGCUAAAGAGAACAACAAGGACGUUGUUCACUUCAAGGCCAAUUUGGCAGCGGGCACGAAGAUGGGGGAUGUGAUGGUUGGUAUAGCAGGUGGUAAUUCCCUUAUGAUAGGUUUGCUGAAGAAAGAGGAAGGGGACACCGAUAUUCUCAAGCGGUUCCAUGGCAACAAGUGUUGGAUCUCCGUUUUGCCAGACGAUGUGAACCCGGAUGGCUUCAAGGCUGCAAUGGAUGAUGCCGGCGUUCUAACUGUUACCUUCACUAAACUGAAGCCAGAGAAGAAGAAGCUGAUGCCAAGCCCAAAGAAGAUACUGGGAUAUUUGGCUGAAGUUGUGCCUGCUUGCUUGCUGAUAGGUUGCAAGAUAGGUGAUGAGAUGAGUUCAGGAGACUACUAGUAAGCUGGUGUCAAGUAGAUAUUUCCUUCAUGUUCAUGUGUUUUGUUCUGUCGUUUUAUCUAUUAGCAUUUGAAAGAAACUCUGGACUCUCAAAGAGUCUAGACCAGGUGUUCGUUAAUUUCUGUGAUUGCGUGGUGUUGUAUCUCCUUUGUGUCAGUGAAAUAGAAAGGGCUUUGUCUAAUAAAAAAUGAUAAACAUUGUUGAGCGAAAAAUAAAUGCAUUUUUUUUUUAAUGGUGUUGAAUACUAAAAAAACAAAACAAGGCCUGUUUUCAUGCAUACGUGCAGCCACAAGAUAAAAGAGUAACUGGAGAUCGGUCAGGUCAGCCAAUCAUGCUAUAGAAUCUGCAAUCUGUCUAUAAAAGAAUUAAAAAGACAACAAAAAAAAACUUCUAGCGGUUGGAUCCUUUUUUUUUAUUUAUAAAUGAGUACAUCGGUAAUGGUAUCGGGCCAAUGCUCGAGCCAGAGCCCCACUUUUCUCCUUUAAUAAUCGCUCAUUUCACUAUUUCAGCGCAAUCGAGAGUAGGGUGAUGCUAAGUUACAGUAUUUGUACCUUGCAGCCACCCUUGUACAGAAAAAUAAAAAGCGGACACAAGUGGGGUCCCACGGCCAUUUUGUGAGGGUGCUGUAAGGUACAGAUACUGUACCGUAGCAUUCUCCGAGAGAGUAAUGGCAACUUUUGAAGAUAAGAACGAGAUGACAGAGAAAAUAAAACGACCCAUGUGAUGUCCAUAGAAGUCUACACCAAAUUCUCAGGUCUCCGCAGUGACGCACACGCAAAUAUUUCAAGAUCAUGGCAACUUCUGCAACUCAUUCCUUGAGCUUCAAGCUGGCCAUCGAAAAAAAUAACUGGGUAAUGUGUUACAACAAAGAUUUACCUUCACCGAACUGAAGCCGGAGUAAAAAGGCGGUGUCAAGAUCAAAGAAGAUCCCGCGAGGUUUGGCUGAAGCAGUGCCUGUUUGUUUCUUGAUAGGUUACUAGAUAAGUUGGGGAGACUACUAAUUAGCUGGUGUCAGGUAAGGUAUUUGCUAACAUCAUGUUCAUGUAUGGGGCGUCAUACUCGUGUAUGUUGUUCUGUUGUUUAUGUAUUAGUAUUUGAAAAUAACUCUGGAGUAGCUAAAUUAAUGGAUCUAUCUUUUUAAGAGCUGCAUUUGGCAUAUAAAGUUUAUUGUGUGGCAGCAAAUCAAGAGCUGGUCAUAAAAGCAUCCUUAAUUUGAGACAAUACAAACGGUAAAAACUAUUUGAGACAAUUAAUUAAUUCGGCUUCCCUUUGAGUGAAAAAUUAAUCCAUCUUUCGUUCGUUUUAGCAUGUGUUUCUUAAUUUUUUUUUCCUUUUUGCCCUUUUCCUAUUUUAGCUUCCACAAAUUGGGAAUUAGUUAUUAUUGAUUUGGUGAAAAGGGAAUUUGCUUUAUUUGGAUCCUAAGAGGGGGCAAUCGUGAUCCUGAUUCAUUUUUCAGAUUUUUUCAAAAAGAAUAUUUCAGUAAAAGAGUGCAGAGUAUGGCACCAUCAAAGUAUAAAACAUAGGAUAAGAAACAAGGUUACAAAAAACAAACCUAUCAGUAAAUGACGACCAAUUUCAUUUCCUCCAUAGCUUCAUCUUCUCUGAUUCCUUUUUGUGGAUUCCACACUGCAAGUUGCAGUGUAAUUUGUUUAUCAUGUUUCGUUAAUACAAACUUCAAAGACAAAAAACACAAAACAAGUGAAACAACUAUCUAUUCCAAGUGUAUAUUAUCUAUCUUGGACAGCAUUGAAUUUUUAUUUUUCCCCCACCCAAAAUGUUACUAUUGCCACAUUUAUAAUCUUAAAAUCUAUUAGGGAUCUAGAUGUAUACACUUAGUAGUAUGAUCAAAAAGUCUAUCGAGCAACAACUUGAAAGUAUGUUUCUACUAAUAUUUGGGAAGUGUAUCUUAUAUGUCUUGAAUAGCAUUGAACUUUCCUUUCUAUUUCUUUUUUUAAAAUUAUUACAAUUUACGCGUAUAUUUCAAUCUAAAAUUUGUUGAGAUUCUAGAUACAAAUACUUAAAAGAGUACAAUCUAAAAGUUCAUCGAACUGUUUACUUAAAAUUAUACUCUCACUAAUAUUUGCGAAGAUAAGUAGAUAUUUAGUGAAAAUAAAUUAAAAAAAAAAAUCGUUCAUUAGCAUUUGUAUUUGCAUAUAUAAGGCUUGUCUUUGAUAGACUUGAGGAAUUAAUCUCAGCAAGAAAAGAAAGAUAUUUGAUAAUUGCAAGUUUGCAACCAUUGGAUGGAAGUUUCGUAAGCAGCAAGCGAGUUAUUAGCGAGAUAAUUUAAAUAUCUUCUACUUGCAGAUGUACAAUUAAUCGAUAUUUUUUUUUUUGGUUUUGACCACAAGGUAUCCUGGGGAGGGCCCCAACUGUGGGAGACACCUUUAAGCCUGUACCACAACCUAGACUAGAAGUCCCCGCUCAAAUCGAGAGGCACAGGUUCUCCCAACAAAUGUGACUUCCCUGCGACUCGAACUGGGGAGCAAACCCAGUCAAGCCACUUAAGGGGACUCCAUUACCAGUAGAGCCAACACUCUGUUGGUUUACAAUUAAUCAAUAUUAUUCAUUCCUGCUUAAUCAAAUUAAGCUUCAAACUAACUAACUUUGGUACCACUCUUGUUUGACGCGCCCGGAAUCUUAUCCCUGGAAGCAACGAAUUAAUUGAAAUGAAUCAAGUCAUUAUCCUGCCAAAUGAUUUCUCUGGUUUCAGGAUCUUCAAUGGUGAACAACAAUUAAUCGAUAAGCAAGCUAAUGCAAAGUUUCCACCAAUAAAGAGCAAGCCGGAAGUCCGUGGAAGGUCUUCAAAAAUUCUUUCAAUAUACAGUAUACAGCAUCAUUGUUACUACUUUUAAUUUGGUUUGAAUAUAAUGUAAAACAACAAAGAGAAUCGUCCAUUGGAGGGAAAAAAUAAAUAAAUAAAUAAAUUACUACUUUUAUCAUGUGCAGAUUUUAAAACACACAAAAAAAAAAUCAUUACAUUUGAAUCCAAUUCUCUAAACUAGAAUCUCGAAUUUAUCUAAGAUAUAUAUAUAAAAAAUAAAGUCAUUGUCAUUUGCAGGCGCUCUCUUUUUUUUUUUUUUGUCUGGAUGCAGUUUAAUAGUUAAUUAAAAUGACUAUAAAACUAAAUGAUUUAAUAGUGAAUUGAAAGUUUACUCCAUUAAAUUAUAUAGUUUAAUAGCAAAAAAAAUGAAGGUGCCGAUAUAUGUAUGUGUGUGUAUUAGUUGUCUGAUAUUAUAUAAUUACCCUCCUUACUGAUGGACAAAGUCAAAAUUAUAUUUCAUCCACUCUCUUCUAAUAAAAAAUGGUAAAUGACUCAGGUAAUUGUUUUGAAAAACCAAAUUAAGGCAGCUAAUAAUCGUUCGAAAAUAAAUUGGUAGGUUUAAUUUCAUCCAACUUCAUUAAUUGAUGCAAAAGAAUACAACAAAGAGCAACCUUGACAAAGUGAGUUGAACAUGACAUGCGUUUUUUAUUUACACCAAUAUUUUCAAGCCUAAUAGUGGACUGGACAUAAAAAUAAAGUAAGCCCUGUUAAUUUUUCUAAAUCAAUGUGAAAAAACAAAUUUCAUUUGCUAAAGCUAAAAGCCCGACCCAGUUUAUAUUAUGGGAUUUCGACUUCCGGAUCCUUUCUAGGCUUUGGGAGCACAUUCCCCCCCACAAAUUCGAAUUCUAGGACAAGUGACUAAAAAGCUCUGUUUACAUUCUUCUCCUUAAUUUUCUUUCUUUCUUUCUUUCUUUUUUUUUUUAAAUAAUGAAUGAAGUGGAGCUUUCUGGGUCGUCAGAAUGGAGAAUUAUUUGUCUCCAAUUUUUUUUCCCCUUUUUUGAAGUCAGUUGAUUCGGCUGCAAUCUUCUUCGCUAUGAUUCUAAUAUGGUCUUCUCUUCAUUUCUCUUUCUCUUUCUCUUUGAAUAAGAGACGAAUUAUUAACAUGACACGCGUCCCGCAACUGAUGACGUGUUGUUUGACGAUUGGCAGUUUUUGAAAGAAAGAGAAAUAGUGAGUGAACGGGCAGUUUUGUCUGACAUAUUAAUAGCUUUAGCAAUACUAUGAACUUGAGGUGGCAGUUUUUGAAAUAUUUUACGGCAAAUGCUAAGUUACAAACAAUGUAACUUACAUAACUCAUGUGAACCACACAAAAUUGUGGGACCUAUAAUUUGUGUGGUUCAUAUGAAUUGUGUAAGUUACAUUUAGGCUCUCAUAUUUUAUAUUUAUAAGUUGUAUCGAGUCUCUCUCGACAUUCUUUCUUCUAAUUUUGAUCAUUGCAUCAUAACCCUGACAUUGGUGUUCAUAAUAUAACUUUGUGCAUUACUUCAUUUUUUGGCACCUUUGGAUUCCUUGUAUCUUGAAUCAAAACUUAAUUGCAGGUUCAACUCUUGACUUCUUUUAAUAGUUUGCAAACCAAAUCGUAGUUUUGGAAUCAAACUUAAUUGCAGGUUCUAUUCUUGACUUGUUCUAUUGAGAGGGCAAUCACUUACAACUUCUCAUAGUUUGGUAAACAAAUGUGGUUUUGGAAGUUCACAACCUUGCUGUGUAACCUGUUUAGUAUGUUUGGAUGAUACAAAUUUCAAUGACAAAAAACAAAAGUAAAAUUUGUUACAAUUUAUACAUACAAUUACAAUCUAAAAUUUAUUGAGACUCUAGAUGCAUUUCUUUAGUAACACAACUUAGAAUUCUGACGAAUCUGCUAAGCAGUAGCUCGGAAAAUUAAUCUGGAGAUAUCUACCCUUAAUUAUUUAGUUAGAAUGAAUUAAAAAAAUCAAAUAGAUCAUAUGAAAGCUAAUCCUCAACACAAGUUUAUGGGCCAAGUCAAGAACAAUAUAUCAGUAAAAGAGUGCAGGCAGCAUCAAGUAUAAAACAUACGAUAAGAGGCAGACUGUAACAAUCAAAGUGUUGGGGAAAAAUCAGGUUUUUAAAAUUUUAUAAAACCUUUUAAGGACCGCUCUCAUAUAAUAUAUAGGAAUACGUAAUCCAAAAAUCGUACCUUGAAAAUCCGAGUUGGCUUUUUCCGCUGAAGUGAUUUAGGCUCCCAGAUCACGAUCCGUCACCACCACGCUUGUUAGAUCACGAACUGUCACCAAUAAUCUUCCAGGUUAUGACUCAGGUUCGAUCUGCACUUGACGUGUGGGCGCCGUUAUCACUACCAAAGCAACUAGCACGAGAAAAUUUUUCUCUCAACAAUGGAGAGAAAAAUCUUUUUCUCUGGAGUCCCACUCCCACUCCCCACUCCAAAAAUGAGUGGGGCCCACGGAGUGGGACUCCCAAUCCCUCCUCAUUUUAAGUAAGUAAACGCUGGAGUGGGAGGAAUCCACACUCCUCACUCCCACUCCAGCAAGUAAACACAACAUAAAUGUAGUGAAUCAACUUGGUCCAUCCCACUGAAAUUACUUUCAUAUCCUUGGCCCUCCAACUACAUUUUUUCACUCAUUACUGUGUAUGAUAUGUAUAGAUAUAUAUAUACACCUACAUUGUCCUUUAUCAAAAGUAAAGUUAUAUCCUUUUUUUAUCUUUUCUUUAUUUUGUAGUUAAUAAAUUUUUAGACAACACAUCCAACAAAAACUUUGAACUUUUUUUUAAUGUUUAAUAUUAAUUAAUUAGCUCAUUUUAAAAUUAAUUUUAUCAAAAAUCAAAUUCUAUGAACAUAGAUUUAUUAAAAUUUAAAAGUUAUGUGUAUAAAAAUCAUCAACUUUCACCCACAUUUAUUGUGUUUAACCAAUGUCCAGUAACAUUUUCUUAAAAUUCAUUCAAUAAUAACUUAACAGUUUGACAUUAUAAUUGUUAAUAGCUUGCUUUAUCAAUAUAGUCUAGUUGUUUAACUGAGUUUGGGAUCUAUUUGAAAUACAAAUGAGUUAACUAUGUCCUUAUUUGAAAAAAAAAAGUCUGCUGUACGGCCAAGGCGGAUGUACGGUACAGCAGGAACUAAAUUUAUUUAAUCAUAAGAUAACUUGUAUUUAUGUCUUCUGUGAAUCCACAUGGUGAUCACAUAAAUACAUAUAAUAUGAUUAAAUGGACUUUAAUACAAAUAUUAAUGCAAUUAAGAUAUUUGAAUAAAAUACCUCAUUUAUUUUAUUAAUCAGAAAAAUUAUUUAUUACAAUUAAAUAAACACAUAUGCUUUUAAAGAGUAUAUUUUCCCAACACAAAGCUACCAGCAAAAGAUCACCACUUUCAUUUACUAUGCAUCUUAAUCUUCUCUGAUUCUUCAACCCCCUUAAACCCUCAAAACCCUCAAGACUGUCAAAGGCAAAGACAGUAACUUCAACCAUUAUUAUAGCAACUUCAUCUCAACCGAAAAUCGACAGCACAAAUGCUCAAAAACCCACUUGCGGAAACUGCCGAAAAAGAUCAUCAUAUGGCAGUCCAAGAAGGUCAGCUCUCAAGAAAACAUUCACGCAAAAGCAAUUCACCUUCACUGCACCGUCUCAAGUAACCCGCAUGUGGGGAUUAUUGGCGGAGGCAUGGCGGUUCUGGCUUGUGCUUUGAGGUUGGAUAAGAGAGGUGUCAAGCCCACUGUUUUUGACUUGGUUGCCUUUUCUUUUGUACUUUUGUGUUUUUUAUGUGGGUUAUGUUUGUAUUUGAUGAGAGUAUAUGCUUGUUUAAUGGUAAUUGAAAAAAUUUGAUUUAAAACAUUCUAGCAUGUGUUGUUUUACAUUGAAUACUGUUUUCGUGAAAAGGGUUUUGUAUAUUGUUCAUUGCAUGUAGCUAUUGUGAUAGACAGUGUGUAUGCACCUUUGGCAAGCUCAACUCUUUUUGGGAUGCAUUAUUGAUUUGAUUAUAAGCAUGUUUAGAAUUGGGUUGUAGUGAUUUUUAAGCCGUAGUUGUUGAGGAAUGAAAUUAAAACAUUAGCUGCUAAAUAAAGUGGGGGUUUAUCAAAUAUUUUGGUCAACCACAUCCAUGUAAUUAUUUUUUAUUCUUUCUUUUUAACAAUGUGCUUUGCUGUAUCAGGAGAAUCCUGGUCCAGAAGGAAGAAUGGGAGAACCAGAAUGAUUGGUCCUCAACCACUGAUAUUUGAUCAUGCUGCUCAAAUCUUUACCGUGAAUGAUUCUCAGUUUGGUGAGUUGGUUGAUGGUUAGUCGCAGAAAGGUCUGGUACGACCAUGGGAAGGUGUGAUUGGAGAGUUGAUGUAGGUAGAUGUAACAAAAUGAAUAAACGAAUCGAGUUCGAAUCGAAUCGUAAACGAAUUAGGUCAGAACUGUGCAGAUUCAGAUUCGUUUUUUUAUUAAACAAAUUAAAAUCUUAGGAUUUCGAUUUAAUUUAUUUAUUAAACGAAUAUUGGUUCGAUUCGUUUAAUUUAUUUAGUAGAAUUAAUAAACGAAUUGAAUUGAAUUUAGAUUCGUUUACUAUUCAUUUAUCCUAUAACAAAUUAAUAAUGAAUCGAACUGAAUAUGAAUUCGUUUACAAAAAUAUAAUUAAUAAACAAAAAUUAAGCAACACAAAUUAUAAAAAAAGACUACAAAUUUAACAUCCUACAAAAUGCAAACUUAUUAUUAUUUAUUAUUACUAUAAUACCUUCAAAUUUUAAAAUUUUUUCAUGUGAAUAUUGAAAGAUAAAUAAGUAAUUUAAACGGAUAAUAAACGAAUGGAUCGUAUUCAAUUCAUUUAUGUUCCAUUUAUUAAAAAAAAUACUAAACGAAUAAAUGAAUAAAUAUCCUCAAGCCUAAAUUCUAUUCUCUAAUUAGUGAAUCGAAUCAAAUUCACCCAUUUAUAACGAAUCAUUUAUUUUUCAAAGGCAAACUCAUUUAAUUAGCAUCGAAUUGAAUGGAAAAUUCAUUCCAUUGUCUUCUUUACCUCCAAAAUAAAUUGGUGUUAAUGGAAUGCACUCUCUUGUUGACUCUUUAUUGGCCUUGGUAACAAAUCUCUGUUUUGCUUUUGUGUUCCUUUCUUGUCGAUUCUACCAUGCUUCUUUGCAUCAAAAGGGGAAAAUUGUCUAAUUAAAUCACAAUGGUAAGAAACUGAAGUAUUGUUUUGAAGUUUGCUGGAAGGUAGUGUUGCUGCUUGGGUAUUCCAAGUCCCAAAAUCUUUAUAUUUUUCAGGUUUGACAGGAGAAGGAAGAUAAGAGUGUAUGAAACUAAAAGCUACAAUUAUAUGGUCACAUGAUUUCAAUUGCUUUGGCUGCAUUGCUAGACUUAAUGAAGCAGUGCUGAUAAUGAUCAUAACUGAGGAAAAGAAUAACCAGCAUGAACAUUUUGCACUGACACGGUUAGAUUUUGCUUAAAUUUGUUUAGGCUUCUAAUUUCAGGAUUGUUCAAUCAAGUCUUUGUAGGUUAGUUAAGUGUAUGUUUAAUAAGGAUAAAAUUAACAAUCUUUCACUCAUUGUGUCGAUUAAUGCACUCAUUAUUCUUAAAUUAUCUUAACACUCCCAAAAUAUAUUUUUUUGUUAAAUUAAUUUGUAUUAUGUUAAUUUUAUAUUGUAGAUAUAUUUCAAUAAUAAUAAUGAGUAGUUGGAACUGGAAGCGCGAACAAAGAAGAAUUACUGUAGCCAUUUGAAAGCAUUAUCGAGGAAAUGAAAUAAAAAAAAAAGUGGGCAAUUAUGUUUGUAAUGGUCAAGAGGCCAUUAUGCCGCAUGACCAUCACCAUGUUUUACUUGUUUGUUUGUGUGAUAAUAAUAAAAAAUAAUAAUAAAACAAGAAGUUGAAGCUGAAGAUCGCCUAUAAAUAGGAUAAGCUUUUGCGGAGGGGGGACGGAGAGCCGAGAGAGAAUGAAGUGAAGCUGAGGAAUUUCUUUCUUUUUUUUUUUCUUGUUUUCUUCUGUAUCAAUUUUCUUGUAAUAUAUUCCAGAAGUUUGUCAAAUAAUCAAAAGAGUAUUCUAUUUUCUUUCAACAUGAGUAGUUAAUUUUACUAAGCUGAGGUAAAACGUGAAACUCAAAGUUUUAAAUUAUUAAAUUAAUUACUUUCUCAAGUGAGUUUUAAUUUUAUUUUAUUCUUUUCUGGUUAUUUUUAUGUCAUGUUAAUUUAUAGAUUUCCUUGAAUUUGUAUGAUAUUUUAAUAUAAUGUCGACACAUUAAUAUAGUUGUGGCACAUUAGGUACUUGAUUCCAUAUUUAUCCACACACAUAGUUAGUUAAGAAUUAAAUGACAUAAUAAGUAACUGGUAAUAGUGAGGUAAAAUAUAAAAAUAAAAGAAUAUUAAAACCAUAGUUUGAAUACUGAGAGUGGAUCAUGUAGCCUUAGCAUAUUUUUAUAUUGAUUCCUAUUAAUUUUUUUUCCGCAUUUUAUUUUUUUUGUUUAACAAAUUGAGUACUAGAUUUUAAAUUCCAUGUGGUUCGAUCCCGGACUUACCGAAUUAUAUUAUAACUAGAUACUCUUAUACUUGGGAGUAAUAACACUUUUGAGUUGUGUCACUUUAUAUUUUGUUCUUUUAUCUUUUUGCUUCCGACCACAAGACAAGAAUAUGAUGGUCUCAAGAGUUUUUUAAUUCAACUAAAUUUCAAUGCAUGUUGACCAUGAACUAUGUGUGUGUGUAUAUAAUGUAAUCAAUUCAAAUAAAAUAUUUUCUUUCUUAAUAUUAGUUUACUAGAUUCAGCUGUCUUAAGUUUAGUAGUUAUUGUGGAUUUCGACCUCGUUACUACUAGUCUAUAUUCCAGUAAACUUGUGUGCUUGUGAGUAUAUCACAAUUUGCUCAACAUUUGACAUAGUAAAAGCCCAUUUGGGAUUAGUUUUUGAGAUAUUUAAAAGUGAUUUUAAAAAGUUAAAAACUAAUUUUAGUGUUUGGUAUUUUUUUUUUUUUAAAAAAAUCAUAUUUGGCAAAAUCACCCCAUUCUAUAGCACAUUUUGAUAAUAAGUUUUAUAUUUAAUACAGUUUCACAUUUAUCCUCACAACUAUUAUAAAAAUUCAAAAUUAUCCUUAUUUAAUUAGGAAAUUAAGUCAUUAAAUUUAAACAUAUUAUUAUUAUGACUACUACUAAUACUCUUACCACCAAUUAUAUUGAGAUAACAAAAUUAAUAAAAUAAAAUAAAUAUUUUUUUGAGUUAUCAAUUAUUUUAUGUACACCAUAAAAAAAUAUUAUAUCUACAUGUAAAUAAAUUUUAUUUAACAUUUUAUAUAUUUCAGUUAUUUGUAUUCUUAUAACAAUUUAACUGUAAAAAUUACUAAGUACAUAUGACUAUUUUUAAAACUCAUAACACUUUUAAAAAUAAAUUUUACUAAACAUCUUAUAUGCUAACAUCAUGUUCCAUGUAUGUUGUUCUAUCGUUUGUAUGUUAGGUUGCAUUUGCUUUUUAUCUAAAAUUUGAAUAGGUCUAAAUGAAAAUGUUUGAAUGACUUUUUUCUUUUUUCUUUUUCAACAUCCGAAGAGAAAAAAAUAAAAGUUAGUAGUUUGACAUAGAUAUCCUUUUAAGUGGUGCAUAGAUUUGUUCUUCACAAUUUAUAAUUUUCACAGGUUGAUUUGUUUGGCAGCAUUAAAAAAAAGUACUAUCAUUAUUGAUUUUAAUUUAAUUUUGUAAUAAAAGAUGUAAUUAUAAUAUUAACUUUUAUUAUAAAGUUAACAUUGUUGUUUUAUUUUUUAUUCAUCACAAUAGACAUAAUUUGAUUUGUUCAAUAUUUCAAUUUAGUUAAUGUUAUCAUGUGAAUAAAAAUUUAAAGCAAUUAAAAAAAUAACUUCAAGAAUAAUACAAAAAUAUUAGGUUUAUACAUAAUAUUGAAAAUACAUGAAUUGUUAAGGGUAUUUUUGAGAAUUGAAAUUAAAAUUUUCUAUUUAGACUUCAAACUUUAGAUAAAAGUGGACUUUUUUUACUUUUCCUAUUCAGAUAAAAUUGUACAAUGAGUGAUAAGUUAAAAAACCAAACAACAUAAAAUAAAUAAAUAUCUGGAAAAAAGUUAAAUUCAGACUUCAAACUAAAAAACAAACAGCACCUUAGUGUGUAAAAACAUAAAGGCUUUAAAUAUAUAAUAUUCCUAUUAAAGUAUUUAAUACGCUAUAUUAACUUAUCCACUGGUGUAGAAUUUGGAAAAAAAAAAGUUUGUUCUCCUAUUCAAUUUUAAGUACUGACAAUUAAAGAAACAGAUAAACAAUUUUUUUUUUCAGUCAAUAAUCUAUACCAUUAAAAAAAAUUAGACUAGGAAUGUAAAUAAAUGAAUAAAUAAACGCAUAAUUGAUUUUUUUUAUAAAAAAAAAAAUUAGCCAACAUACCAUGAUUAAGUGAGGUACCAUGAAUCUUAAAAAUAAAUUUAUUGUUUUGAUGAGAUUUUGUCUCUUUUUCUUGCAUCCAACAUCCACUAAAAAAUAUGCUUUCAAAAUUAUGUAGAAGCAUAGUGGUUGUUAGAAAUGUACCCCAAGUACGUGCAUAUCCUGCCACCAAAAUAGGACUCAACUCGAGUUAUCCAAACUUAGUGAAACUUAAACUUUGUGUUUCAAUGAGCUAGUCAACCACAUCCAUGUAAUUAUCAUUACCAUUAUUGUUGUUAUUGUUAUUUUCCUUUUAAAACGGUGCCUUUACUAUAUAUCAGGGGAAUCAUGCAUGGGAACCAGGAUGAUAGGUACUGAUUCAAAGUCCCAAAAUGAUCACAGUUUUGAGGUUUGACCCCCACAUGCACAAGGAAGAUAAGAAGCUAAAAUUAAUUACAUGGGCUGCAAGGGUGGACUUAGAAUGAAAUGGCAUGACGGCCGAGGAAAAGAAGAACUAGCGGGAACAUUUUAUUUUGCACCACUGUGUCAUGACUGCAAUUCCUGCACAGUAAGAAGCUUAUUAAUAGUUAUAUAUGCCACACUAAUAAUUAGCGUAUUUAUACAAACAUCUUAAUUAUCAAGGCACAAAUGAACUUAAUUAAAUUCAAAGAUGGCAAUUCAGAAGCGAUAAUAUAUCCCGGCGGCAACUAAUAUAUAUAAUAGAAAUUAAAGUCCAUGGUUAGCAUUAACAUUGUGACACGGGGUACUACAGAUACAGGCUUACCCUUGGUUUGAUUUGGUCGAGUUAUGCAAAUGGCUGAAGCGUUGGCUGGUGAUUGUAAAAGAUAGAGAUCCAGCUCGCAUGCUCAUUUCAACACUUGGCACUUGGCAGGUGCAGUGAGUUCUGCAGCAGGAUCUAUAAAUUAAAUAAUAUAGUUUUAUUUAUUUUUAAAAUAAUUAAAACUCUUUUAUUUGCCCACCACUUAAGUUUUUCUCCAAUCACAGGAUAGGGUCCUUUCCCGCCUUUUCCCGGUAAAUCCUUUAGGGUUGUAGACGUGGCAGAUAGCAAGAGGAGGAAGAGAAGCCGUGUUUGACUUUUAGAAGGAAAUAAUAAUAUUGGAGUAAGCUGACGCAAAUUGUAGGGCCUGCAUAGGGAUGGCAAAUUGGCCCAUCCAAAUUGGAUAUCCAUAUAUCCAAUCCAAUUGGAUUGGAUAAUAUCCAUCCAAAAUCUUAUUGGAUAUGGAUAUGGAUAUUUUUAAAAAUAUCCAAUUGAAUAUUGGAUGGGUAUGAAUAUUUAAUGGACAUCCAAAAUCUAAUUAAUUUAUCCAUUUAAAGUUAAAAAAAUUUAUAUUGUUAAACUAAAAUAAAAAAAAACAACAAAAUCUAAUAUUCUCUUAUAUUAACUAGUGAAAAUUUUAAAUUCCUCUUAUAUUAAAAAUUAAAGUUUUCAAAAUUACCCUUUAAUUUUUUAACUUAUUUAAUAUUAUUAAUAAUUAUUAUUUUAUUUUAUUGAUUUAAUAUUAUAAAUGGACUUCCACCAGAAAGUCGCCGGACCACCACCGGACCUCGCCGGACCACCGUCGGACAUCGCCGGAAAGUCACCGGAUCACCGCCGGACCUCGCCGGGAAGUCGCCGGACCUUGCCGGAAAGUUGCCGGACCACUCUGCUGUACGGCAUAUAUAUAUAUAUUAUUACUAAUAUAAAUAGUUUAAUAGCCAAAUUUAAUAUUAGAAUUUUAACUAUUUUAUAUUAUUAUUUUUAUAUAAUAAAAAUAAAAUAUCCAUGGAUAUCCAUGGAUCUCCAUAACUAUAUGGAUAAAAUUUAUAUCCAUGUCUAAUAUUAAUUACUGGAUAUGGAUAUGGAUAUAUCCAUUAUGGAUAAUUAUGGAUUUGUGUUUGGAUGAAUAUUAUCCAUCCAUAAUUGGAUAUUUGCCAUCCCCGCCUGCACCACUUUAUUAAUUUAGUUUUUCCAGCCGCUAAUUUUCUCCAUGUUACAUUACAUUACACGCAAUUUUGAAGUUUAAAUUUGUCUCUCUCUUUUUUUUUUUUUAAAAAAGGAAAAAAUAAGGGCUCGUUUGGUAUUGGUUCUGAAUUUGUAUUUUUUGAGAAUAAAAAUAAAAAUGAAAAUGGUGUUUUGCAGUUGCUGUAUUUUGAAUUUAAAUAUGCGCAUGGUAUCAUUUUCUGUAUCCUAUAUUUUAAAAUUGAAAACAGUAAUAUGCGUUUGGUAGACACAGUUGAAAAUGAUAAAAUAAAAAAUAUGCGUUUGGUAAUACUUUUUUCAAAAACAGUUUUUACUAAGCAUUUACAUUAUAUUUGUAGUCAUAAAAUAAUUAUUUAUCUAAUACAUACAUAAAUACAACAAAAUAAUUUAAACAAAUUUAUUAUUAAAAAAUUACAUGAUGAUAAAGUUUUAAAAUUAACAUUAAUUAAAAAAAAUUGAUAAUAAACUGAAAGCAUGCAUGGUAUGAACUAGAGUUAGUGCAAUUUAACAUGAAGCUUGCUCGUGCAAAAUUAUUUUAUAUAGCAUUUGCAGUUUCAAUUUCCAAUUCCAAGGUUCUGAUUCCAUGCUCCCAAACACAACAAUAAAUGUAAAUCCAAUUACACAUCUUCUUGGAACAACUUUUUGUGAAGUAAGUGCCAUUUUUUUUUUUAAGAAUAUUCAUUCUGAAAACACAUUAGACACGGAAUUAGAAAGCAGUUUAACUGCUUUCCAGAAACAAUAUUUGCUCUGCCAAAAGAAAAAAAAAAACUACUUCACAUUGACUCACCAAUCCACUCCUCCACUUUCAAUCAUAAAUUCCACAAUAAUCAAUAAUCAUCAGCACUAGCAGGAAAAUUACAUUACACGUUCAGCAACUCACAUAACAAAGAUUCCCAAGCAAAUUAAAACCCAAUGAAUGCCAAAUUCGAUUGUACGCAAUCCAAAGAUUUGUUGUAUAUACAACAAAACACUUAACUGCAACUGCAUCGAAGAAGGAGAGUGUCCUUCCGAUUGUUAUCCUCUGUUUGUAUAUCCAAAAUUCAUGGCCCCGACGCUUACUUCCUCCAAUUCAUUUCUGCUCAAUACAACACCCCGUUCAAGGCUCAUCAUCAAGAACCCAAGAUUCAGUGUGUUUGCCAAGAAAGCUAGACCGUUCCCUCCAUUUCAGGUUGGCAAGUCGAAGGAUGAGAAUUCAUCUGAUGAAAGCUCAAAUGGUGAUUCCGGCAAUUCCAAUCCUUUUUGCUUCAACUUUGGUAAGGUGCGGGAUGUGACAUCUUUGAUCCCAGUUGUGAGCAGCCCUGGAACUGGACUGUCAUUUGGAACUGGGCAGGCCGGCGUUCGUAUUUUGUGGCAACGGCCACGACGGAGAGAGAACGACACACCAAAGGACAGCCGCGGUAGAGACGAAGUUGCAGCGGCGGCAGAGAAAAUGUUGUUGGAGGGAGAAAAGGAGAAAGCACUGCUGCCGUGACUAGAUCGAGGAUGGCCGUGGGGGGGGUUGACCAGAUCGAGAACGAUGAGAGGGGGGAGAGGGUUGCUGCCGAAGAGAAUGGGUUUUGUUUCUUAAUCUAUUUUUGAGUUUAGUUUGUAAUAUUUAGGAAACAUGUUAAACACGUUUUCAUGUUUGUAGUUAUAACACUGGAUCUGAAUUUGUUAUUUUGUGCUUUGUUUUUUGAAUCCAUCUCACCAAACAUAUAUUACGUUUGUAUUAUGAAAACAAAAAUGAAAACAAUGGGUAAAAAACGCUACCAAACGGACCCUAAUUUUUAUCGUUUCUGUUUCCCCCCAAUAAUUGUCUUAAAAUAAAUAUUGUACUUCUGCGUAGUACGCAGCACAAGGACAUUAUGAACGGUAUUUAAUCUCGCCGCACUUGUUCACAAACAAUUUUGAAGUUUCAAAGGAAAUUAAAGAAAGCUUUAGUUUCCUCCCUUGACGUUGACGUUCUAACUGAUUACUUUACUUACCGUGCAGUCUUACCUCACCGAACACAAAUGACAAAUGUAUGGCGACUCUGACUCAAAUCUCAAUUGACGCCUGUCACAAUAGUUUGUGUAACCGUCCUUAAUAUAUAUUUUUUAAUUAUCAUUGUACUAUUUUUUUUUUACCUCAUAUUAAUUCAAUCACUAUAAAAUUUUAACAUAUUUUCUACAUUAUUUUUUUAAAAUUUAUAUCAAUUAGACACUUUUACAUUAAUACCGUUAAAUAAUUUAAAUAAAAUGACAAUUUUACCUCUAAAUAAAUUAAAAGAUCAUUUCAUCUUGUAAAAGCUUUGAAAUUAAAAAAAUUAUAAUUAUAAAAAUACCCCUACAUUUAAUAAAGAUAAAAAUUAUUUUCAUAAAAAAUUAUAAUUAUAAAAAUAAUUCAAAAUUUUGGGAUUUAAUAACAAUCCCCUAAAUUAUUAAAAAUUUGGGAUUUAUUUUUUAAUAAAUAAAUUCAGUUAUUUUAAUAAAAUUUUUGCAAAAUUAUAAAAUUUUAAUAAAAAUAAAUAUUAAAAUUUUACAAAAUCUAAAUUUAAUAAAAAUCAGCUGAGCACCUCUAUUUUGGAUUUAUUUUUUUAAAUUUAGGGGUAUUUUUAUAAUUAUAAAUUUUUUUAUUUUUCAAAGCUUUAUAAGAUAAAAUAUUUUUUAAUUUAUUUAGGAUAAAAUUAUCAUUUCGCUUAAAUUAUUUAACGGUGUUAGUGUAAAAGUGGCUAAUUGAUAUAAAAUUAAAAAAAAAAUAGUGCAGAGAGUAUGUUAGAAUUUUGUGGUAGGUAUAUGAACAUAAGAUAAAAGAAAAGUGGUGCAAUGAUUUUUUUUUUUUUAUAAGAACUGUCCUUAAAAUUGAAAACAGGACAACAAAUAAUUUUUUUUUUUUCAUUCAACACUAUUAGAAAAAGAAAAAAACACAACAUUUAGUCUGGAAUGUAAAUAAAUGAUAAAUAAAUGUAUUACUAAAUUUGAGAAAAUGAAGCUGAUGGAGAGCACUAAGGAGCUCUUAGAUAUAUAUAUAUAUAUAUAAAAUGGGUCCACCUAAGUUACGUUCAAGAGAACUUACGGCUUGGCUGAAACAUUUUGUUCAGGCCCCUAUACUCUAUGUUAUUUAUAAUUUGUUCAUGAAUAUUAUAAAUUUUUUGGAUUGUAAAAUUUCAUCUAACCCCUUACACUCAAUUUUAUUUUAUUGAAACACUAGAGUACGAAUUUGCCCCCCUAUAAUUUUAAAUUCCCAAAAUAAUCUCCAUUUAAUUAAAAGAUAUAAUUAUUAUUAAAUUAAUUAUAAUUAUAAUUAUAAUUAUUAUUUUAUUAUAAUCAUAAAUAUAAUUAUAUUUUUUAAAUAGAUGAUUAUAUUUUUUAACAAUAUAAAGAGAAGAUUGAUAGAGAACUUUAAACAAUUUGACGUAUUCACAUUAUUUAUAUGUAUAUGCGAGUUAAACAUUUAUUUAUUUAUUACAUUUUUUUGUGAAUUAUAAAUCAUAAGGAAACGACUUUGAGGGAACAAUUAGUAUCACAAGUCCCUACUAUUUCUUUUAUGUAAUAGAAUUUAUGGAGCCAAUUAACGGUUGCAAAAAAAGCCCCAUGAUGCUAAGAGUUUCAAUGGGUGUAUUUAUAGUAACUCCCCCAAUGACUUGCUUUUUAAUUGAUAUGCAACAGUACCAACAUUUUUGUGAAUGAAGCUCACACCAAUUUCCAUUGCCACUUUUGGUGUUGUCUAAACAUUUUGGCAUGACACCAUUAAUAGAACAUCCAAGCAAAAAAAGUACGAAAAAUUUUGUGAUCAAGAGAAAAUUAAUUGCAAUUAAUGGAAGUCAAGGAUGGCCGUGGGGGGGGUUGACCAGAUCGAGAACGAUGAGAGGGGGGAGAGGGUUGCUGCCGAAGAGAAUGGGUUUUGUUUCUUAAUCUAUUUUUGAACAUAAUGUGAAUAUGUCAAAUCAUUAAUUUUUAAAUAGAUGAUUAUAUUUUUUUAAAAAUAUAAUCAUCUAUUUAAAAAAUAUAAUUAUAUUUAUGAUUAUAAUAACUUUGUUUUUUGAAUCCAUCUCACCAAACAUAUAUUACGUUUGUAUUAUGAAAACAAAAAUGAAAACAAUGGGUAAAAAACGCUACCAAACGGACCCUAAUUUUUAUCGUUUCUGUUUCCCCCCAAUAAUUGUCUUAAAAUAAAUAUUGUACUUCUGCGUAGUACGCAGCACAAGGACAUUAUGAACGGUAUUUAAUCUCGCCGCACUUGUUCACAAACAAUUUUGAAGUUUCAAAGGAAAUUAAAGAAAGCUUUAGUUUCCUCCCUUGACGUUGACGUUCUAACUGAUUACUUUACUUACCGUGCAGUCUUACCUCACCGAACACAAAUGACAAAUGUAUGGCGACUCUGACUCAAAUCUCAAUUGACGCCUGUCACAAUAGUUUGUGUAACCGUCCUUAAUAUAUAUUUUUUAAUUAUCAUUGUACUAUUUUUUUUUUACCUCAUAUUAAUUCAAUCACUAUAAAAUUUUAACAUAUUUUCUACAUUAUUUUUUUAAAAUUUAUAUCAAUUAGACACUUUUACAUUAAUACCGUUAAAUAAUUUAAAUAAAAUGACAAUUUUACCUCUAAAUAAAUUAAAAGAUCAUUUCAUCUUGUAAAAGCUUUGAAAUUAAAAAAAUUAUAAUUAUAAAAAUACCCCUACAUUUAAUAAAGAUAAAAAUUAUUUUCAUAAAAAAUUAUAAUUAUAAAAAUAAUUCAAAAUUUUGGGAUUUAAUAACAAUCCCCUAAAUUAUUAAAAAUUUGGGAUUUAUUUUUUAAUAAAUAAAUUCAGUUAUUUUAAUAAAAUUUUUGCAAAAUUAUAAAAUUUUAAUAAAAAUAAAUAUUAAAAUUUUACAAAAUCUAAAUUUAAUAAAAAUCAGCUGAGCACCUCUAUUUUGGAUUUAUUUUUUUAAAUUUAGGGGUAUUUUUAUAAUUAUAAAUUUUUUUAUUUUUCAAAGCUUUAUAAGAUAAAAUAUUUUUUAAUUUAUUUAGGAUAAAAUUAUCAUUUCGCUUAAAUUAUUUAACGGUGUUAGUGUAAAAGUGGCUAAUUGAUAUAAAAUUAAAAAAAAAAUAGUGCAGAGAGUAUGUUAGAAUUUUGUGGUAGGUAUAUGAACAUAAGAUAAAAGAAAAGUGGUGCAAUGAUUUUUUUUUUUUUAUAAGAACUGUCCUUAAAAUUGAAAACAGGACAACAAAUAAUUUUUUUUUUUUCAUUCAACACUAUUAGAAAAAGAAAAAAACACAACAUUUAGUCUGGAAUGUAAAUAAAUGAUAAAUAAAUGUAUUACUAAAUUUGAGAAAAUGAAGCUGAUGGAGAGCACUAAGGAGCUCUUAGAUAUAUAUAUAUAUAUAUAAAAUGGGUCCACCUAAGUUACGUUCAAGAGAACUUACGGCUUGGCUGAAACAUUUUGUUCAGGCCCCUAUACUCUAUGUUAUUUAUAAUUUGUUCAUGAAUAUUAUAAAUUUUUUGGAUUGUAAAAUUUCAUCUAACCCCUUACACUCAAUUUUAUUUUAUUGAAACACUAGAGUACGAAUUUGCCCCCCUAUAAUUUUAAAUUCCCAAAAUAAUCUCCAUUUAAUUAAAAAUAUAAUAAUUAUUAAAUGAAUUAUAAUUAUAAUUAUUAUUUUAUUAUAAUCAUAAAUAUUAUUAUAUCUAUUCCCCAACAUAUAUAUAACCAAGUUUGUAACCAUAUACAUACAUACAUACAUACAUACAUAUAACAUAUUUUUAUAACAUAUUUCUCAAAAAUGAAUGUCAUGCAUCAUAAAUACAUUGCAUAUAAGGCUAAUCCCCACACAAGUGAUGAUUCUUAGGCCUAUUUAUUGCAAUAUUCAUAUCUGUUUCAAAGAACAUCCACGUACACAUGAUAUUAUAGGGUAUACACUCUAUGCCCCUAUUUAUUGUUGUCACUGAUCUAUUUCGUAAACAUAGCAGUUAAAUAUUCUGCUGUACCGUACAUCCGCCUUGGCCGUACAGCAGAAUUCAGACUCUAAGAUUUCAAUAAAAUAAAAUUGAGUGUAAGGAGUUAAACGAAAUUUUACAAUACAAAAAAUUUUAUAAUAUUUAUAAAUAAAUUAUAAAUAAUAUAAAAUAUAGGGAGCUGUAUAAAAUUUUAGAGUCAAGCCGUAAGUUACAUUAAACGUAACUUAGGCGGACCGUAUAAAAUAAAAGAGACGACUAACGAGUGAAGAAAGAAUGACGGUACGAAAACAUGAAAAAGCUGUCUUUUUCAGUGAAUAGUAUUUUGAAAAAAAUUCCUUUAUAGGAUGGAGUUGGCUUCUGGGAUAAGGCACGUCGAAUAAUCAUGUCUCUUACAAUUGACAGUCGCACAAAAUGGCAGCUUCCCUCGCUUGACGUGUCACCCCAUUUGGAUCAUAAUUGAGACCUACUUGCGAUGUGAUCGGUCUCCGAGUCCAACAAUGUGAUAAAUUUGUAGAUUUGCAAGACUGGAACCAUAAUGGGAAGUAACUUAGCGUUUGCCUAAUGGGAAAUUAAAUAUCGUAGGACCGUAGGACCCAUCCCACGUACAUAAUUUUGAAACUACGCACCGUUGGGUCCCCUUCGCUGUUGUCUGAGCAUUACAUCAUUAAUUACUAUUAUAUAAGACUCUUCCCAUGAGUGUCAUAUGCUGCAUAUACCUAAAAAAAAAAUGUGCCUCGGAAAUAAACAAUAUCAGUGCUCUGUUUUCUGGGAUGAGGAUGAAAACCUCGUUCACUUCAAGUGCCCUCUUCCACCAAGGACGAAGCGAGAGGAUGUGAAGGUUGAGAUUGAUGAAGAUGGGAAAUUGCUUAUAGAAAUAAGCAAGUGGGUAAGUUCACAUAGUGAUCCUCUCUCUUCAGCUUCUUCCUGGAUGAUCAUAUCCGGCUCCUCUUUCUUAAGCUUCCUGACGAAAAAUGAAGGAGACACCACCAACCCAAUACCCCCGAUGGAAUUCAACUUGCCAACGGGUCUUAACACGAAUGCCUUCGAGACUGCGAUCGAUGACGAGGGUUUGCUAACUCUCACUUUCAAAAAAGCUCCUGCCCAUUCAUGCCGAAACGCCCUCCGACCUCGAAAAGGCCUCCGUGGAGUGGAGGAACAAAAAGCGC
rnacentral:lncRNA from 1 species